GGGGAGUGGAGAGGAGGGAAGUGGGUGGAAGGGGUAGCAGCUGCAGCCCUCAGCGUCCAGCUAUGGGUUAGGUUGCCAGGUUUGUGGUUACCUGCCCUGGCUCAUGCACACGCAGGACCUCAGACUUUAUGGUCCCAGUGCCCAUGUGCCCAGGACAAGGCCUCCACUUCCACAGGCAAAUCCACCCAGUUCCUGACAUUCCCGACAUGUGCAUGCAGAUGAGAUCACUGGCCUUUCAUGAGCCAGGCCCUGUCUGGCCCCAAGCUGCUCUGGCCCAUGGGAACCCUUGGCUUCAGGAUUCAGAGAAAAAGAAAUUUUCAGGAUGGACCAGUAAGAAACAUAAAGGGAUUUAUUAGGCAGAAUUUUAAAAGUACACACUGAAGGAAAGAGUUGGAGCCCUUAAGAGAGAAUUGCAUUAUCUUCUGGAACUGGGAACAAUUAUGUUAUCUCCUGAAGACAUGGAAACCUAUGGAAAAGAUGGCCCACCCCACCCCCCAGGAAGAUAAUAGCCCAUUUUACAGGAUAUGAAAGCCCAGCUACAGAAUAACUCCAGUUUGGCCUCCGGUCACAACUGAGACUUCAGGGAUCCAGUGACGCUGUGAUUCUCCAGGACAAGAAACAUCCUGGGAGAACAAACAUCUGCUCAGUUCCUCAUUGUUCUUGGACUGAUUAACAUCUUGUUUGCCGGCGAUGUACUGAACUCUCUGCAAGCCUUCCGUUACACCUUGUUUAUCCCAAUGUGAACUAUUGAACUCUCUGCAAGUCAUCUGUUACAUUUGUUUCUCCCGAUGUACUGAAUAAAAGGUGUGGUAAGCUGGGGGCUUUUGUCUUUGCUGCCCAGAGCAGCACUGAUCAGACC
rnacentral:lncRNA from 1 species